rnacentral:rRNA from 1 species
UACGUAGGUGGCAAGCGUUGUCCGGAUUUACUGGGCGUAAAGAGCGCGCAGGCGGUCGGAUCAGUCGAAUGUGAAAGCCCCCGGCUCAACUGGGGAGGGUCAUUCGAUACUGUCCGACUCGAAGGCAGGAGAGGGAAGCGGAAUUCCGGUGUAGUGGUGAAAUGCGUAGAUAUCGGGAGGAACACCUGUGGCGAAAGCGGCUCACUGGACCACAACUGACGCUGAUGCGCGAAAGCUAGGGGAGCAAACAGGG